UGGCCACAGGACACAACCUCCUUUCCUGUAGACUGUGGAUACUGGGGAUUGAGAGAGACCUCAGAGUUAGCUGGUCUCAUGGAGAAGAAUAUGGAGAUCUGUGGUAUCUUGUAUACCUGCAUUUCUAUCUUGGGGUCCUCAGAAAUUACCCCAUUUUCCAUGGCAAAGAGCUAUGGGCUGCUGAGAAAUCUAUGAAAGACAACUGGCUUCACACUGGGAAAAACAGAAGCUGUUCUCCAAGUACAGAAAGAAGUGGCAUUUGGUUCACUAGAAAGGGCUCAGAGACAUCCUGAUAAGGUCUAGCUGAGCAUCCUACUGGCGAGCAUGUCUAUAACAGAGUCCCAAUGCUGUGACGGCCAGCCCUAGGCUUCUUGAGGAGUUGUGGACCACCAAAGCUACAAAACCAGUGCUCAUUCAGGACAGAAGCUGGUCACUCUGGAUUCCAGGCCGGGGACCCAGAAGAGUAAAGAAUACUUUCUUUGGAUAUAUAACAAUGGAAGAAAAACAAGUAAGGCCAUCUUAUUGUCUACAACAUGGAUUUGAGAAUUCUAUAAUAGGAAGUGGUUGUGAAACUUCAAGAGCUACUCUGUUGGAAGGCAUGCCCUGAUACCAUUUAAAAGUUUAGGACCUCAUCAACAUCUCAUCGAUGCCCAGCCACUUGCUCCAUUCCAUCAUCAUGGCCACCCAGGACAAGAGGCUCAGGUUGAUGUUGACUCCAGCUCAUGGGAAGGUGCUGCUUACAUUCAACAUGGGUCUUUCCUUUGAAUUAUUUUCCUGGAAAUGGCCUCUCAGACACACUUAGAGGUUCUUGUCUAGUACCUGGAAGAGCUCCUUGGAAUUCUUUGAACAUCAGAUGUAUCACUGGAAUCUUUGUCUGCAUGGAAAACUGGACACAAUUACUUCUGUCUUUGUCUUUUUAUAUAAGAACACAGGUCAUAUUGAGUCAAGGUCUCAUCCCACUUUAGUGUGAUGUUAUCUUAAACAGUUAUGUUUGGAAACAUCUCUAGUCAUACUCUAAGCUACGAGGGGUUAGAACUUCUGCCAUAUCUUUAUAAGGGGAUAUAAUUUAACUCUCAUCAGUUAGCCAGGCAUCAUUCCUGUGUGCAGUAACUGAUGCCUGCGAUCAUGCUGUGACCUCAGACAACGACAAGGUCUGCCGUUGCUGAAGGGGCUCAGAGUAAAUGACUGUCUCACACAGUGCUCCUGGCAAAGAAGACUAUAUGCCUAUCCCGAAGGUAAAUCAGGAAGACAGCAUGUGCUAGAACCUACCACAUGAGUUAACUGGGAGUUGGCUCUCUUGGUUUGCUUGCUUUUAGUUUACACUCUGUACUAAUACUUGGGUCAAGGGCAUUCUGUUUUACUCUUCUGAGGUAUGAAAUUACAUUCCUGGCCCCAAAGUUUGCAUAUGCCUGGCUCAUCAUGGGGCUACCAUUGGAUAUGAAAGAUGUAAGAUACAGCCAAGGUUGCUGCUGACAGCCUUUAUGUGAUCAAAAAGAACAAGGCUCAGGUUGAAGCCAACACAAGGAAAGAUAGGACAGAGAUGGAAGACAACAAACCUUGUUGACAUCCAUAGAGGUGCUGGACCAAGACUUUUUGAAGUCUUUCCUAAUUCCCAAAUUUUCAUCCCUUUUAACUAAUGAAUUCUCUCUGUAAUUUGGUUCAGAUAUAUGUAGGUGUUGUCUCUUGCAACUAAACCAUUGUAACUGGUUUGGGAAGUUACAGCAGCAUCCAGAAACAAAGGUGGAAUGGGCCAGAGACAGUCUUAAGUGGACACAGCAACCCAUAAGCAUCCAUGAAUAGCGUGACUAAAUGGAGGUCACAUAAGUCAUAGCCUCUGAGCUUUAACAGGGAUUGUGUCUGUCGAUAUCUGACACUUUAACAAAAUACUUAGGACAAUUAACUUAAAAGAAUGCUGAUCUGUAGUCACCUGACCUUUGUGGAUUUGGGACAGUUGUGAUGGCAUAGGACACAUAGUGGCAAUGGAUGACAGUCACCUCAUGGCAACUGGGAACACACACACACACACACACACACGAGAGAGAGAGAGAGGGAGAGAG